AUAGAUAUUACGAAGAACAUCAGUGGCGAAGGCGGCCUGCUGGUCUACAACUGACGCUGAGGCACGAAAGCGUGGGGAUCAAACAGGAUUAGAUACCCUGGUAGUCCACGCCGUAAACGAUGAGUGCUAAGUGUUAGGGGGUUUCCGCCCCUUAGUGCUGCAGCUAACGCAUUAAGCACUCCGCCUGGGGAGUACGACCGCAAGGUUGAAACUCAAAGGAAUUGACGGGGAUCCGCACAAGCGGUGGAGCAUGUGGUUUAAUUCGAAGCAACGCGCAGAACCUUACCCGCGUUUGACAUGCCCUGUUUGGUUACCAGAGAUGGUUUCCUUCAUUUAGUUGGCAGGUGCACAGGUGCUGCAUGGCUGUCGUCAGCUCGUGUCGUGAG
rnacentral:rRNA from 1 species